rnacentral:rRNA from 1 species
GCCACAGUCAUAUCACCCUGUAGCCCAAGACUGGUUGCCUAUUGAAGCAGGGCUGAGCCUGGUCAGUACCUGGAUGGGAGACCUCCUAGGAAAACUAGGUUGCUGCUGGAA